rnacentral:tRNA from 5 species
GGGCGGGUGGUCUAGUGGUAUGACGCCCAGACACUGGUUCGGGAGACCCAGGUUCGAAUCCUGGCCCGCCCA